GGCCAACCACGCGCCCUUUUCUGCCGCUUUUGUUCAAUUUCUGGCGGUGCUCUGGUGUGUUAAGCAUGGCGCGUUCCUGGCCACGUGGUUGCGAGCUCUCCGGGAAGCCCUGCAUGGGCCCUGAAUGCGCGGAAAGGGUAGCGGCCUGGAUCUUGGGCCCAGAAAGGGCCUCUCCAAUCUGCCAUCUCUGCCUAGAAAUGGGAGGUUCGUUCAAAUGCGUUUAAGUGUCUGCAGUUACUGUCAGCCAGGGACAUUGUAAACUUUAGACCCUGGUAACUAUCAAGUUGGCGGAGACGAAGAGAAAACUCUCUUGCAGGUGAAAUGGAUAUGUGAGGCACGCUCUGCUGCUGCUAGCAAAAUACCAUGUGGGAGCGCUAAAGUGACCGGAGAAUGCCCUUGGUGUGAGGAAACUGAAUUUAAUCUUCUGGAGUUUGGGCCAUUUGGAAUUUUAAGGAGCACAAUAAUAAAUAAGGAAAGUAAAUCUCUUUUGAUAGAAAAGACAGAAGAUAGGAUGUGAGUAAUUCUCCUGUCUGCCACUAGUGAACAAUAGAAGACUGAUCUCUUGAAUCCCCGGAAAUCCAUUUGGACCCCUGUCCUCUGACAUCGCCCCACAAGAUGACAUGACUAUAGUGCACCCCCUGAAACCCAUGAUGUGACCUGACACAAUCUGAAGAACCUGAUUCACAGACUCCAAGGACAGAAUUUUCUUACUGCCUUUCUCUUGCCCAUUGCUGUCUGCCCUUCCUGCUUCUGCUUUGCCUGUCACGUUUUGGUGGUUUCAGCUCAAUCUCUACAGAAAAGUGGAAUUCUGAUGGCUGACUUUCCCAUCAAGAUAGACGUGCAGCAUUUUAUCCCCUGGCAUUUCUUCCCCUGGUCAUCAGCAUUGGACUGACGCUGCUUCUAUUGGACUUACUGGUACACCUCUUAGACACUUUACACAACUUUACAGCAGCUUCCCUUUAUGCUGCUGGAUUUCUCAAAGACUGACUGCAGCAGUUCAUAGACUUUACAACCAAUUGUCUUGGGGACUAUACAACGCUGAAUAGCCCCUUCUCACUUGGCAGGCAACACCUCCUUUAGCCUGUUCAGCCCUGCCCCUUGAGGCAGGAAACGCCUUUUGAGGCAAGAAAUGCCCCUUUUCACCCACCAGGCCUCCCCUUGACAUUAAACCGGCUCUUGCUGCUCUCCUACUUGUCCCUUCCUGUCUUGUUCCAGUUCUUUUGAAAAUGCAUUCACGAUAUCAUUCAGGUUUAUGCCCAAAAGGUUUCUGUUCACCCCUACACUACUAUUCCUCUGUCAGAGAUGGAGCCUUUUACAGACACUGACCCAUUUAAAUGUGAUGAUUAGAUAGAAAGAUAAAGGAAAGAUGUAGAAAUAUUGUGAAGAGAUGGUGAAGCCUGGCAGAGUUUAACCUAUGAGAUGAGUCCCUCCAGGUAAGUCUCUCUCUCUCUACAGAGGGGUUGAGCAAAAGGGGGGACACAUAAAUCUCACAAGGUUGGUGGCUAUGUAAGUCUUUCCUCCCCCACAAAAACAUCCUACAUCUUCCCACCGGAGCCUGACAUUCCUUAAAAAACAUUAAGCCUGCUCCACUCUAAAUUUCCUAUACUGUGGCCAUUAGAUAAAUGGAAAGGGGAGGUGUUGGGAUAUUGUACAGUUGUGGUUGAACAUUGGCAGGGCCCACAAACCAUAUUUCCAUGCGAGUAUUAUUAUUUACGUAUCAGUCUUCUGCCUUGUUUUAAAAUGACUCCUCCACCACCACAUUACCCCCUCAGGGUAUUGCCCUUCCGCCUGCUAAAACCCUAGCAACCAUUGCUAUGGAAACUUUCUGCCUUCACAGAGUGGCUUGUUUUCUCCACCCCCUUUCCUAGUCAAUCCCAUUCCUUGUCACUUCCAGUUUUUACCCUAUAAAGCCCGCAGCUGUUCCAGUUUCGCUCUCUCUCUCCUUUCUUUUCCACAUCCUGACCUGGAGAAGGGCUGGUGAGCAUAGCAGGAGGCGGCCAUUUUGCUAGCUCCACGUGGCCUAAACCCGCUGUGCCCGCACCCAACUCUGGGGCGUCCAUGUGAAUAAAGAUUUGCGUGCCCGCUCCA